rnacentral:lncRNA from 1 species
UCCAAACAUGAAACAGUCCAAGAUAGUCCAAAAAUGCCGAAAUAAUAAAAUUAAGAAAUAUAUAAUGAUUAAUUUAUUUAUUUUAACCAAGUUCCGUCACACCGACCCAUCCUAAGUAUGAGGGUUACCUAAUUGACAAACAACAGAAAGUGAGUUUUUGAAACUUAUUGUGUAGCAUAUCAUAUAGAAAUCAAUUAGACAUAUAGAUAUAUAUAUAUAUAUUAGAAGCAGAGCUUAUCAAAACAUAACAGAUGCAAAUAUAUAUAAUCCUAUCCCCAUCCACUACACACCAUCUCUGCCAUCCCAACACUCCAUAUAGGGUAUUAUAAACCCAUCCAACCCUACACACUGUUUAGUGCUGGUAUGACACUUUUCAGAAUAUUUGCAGCUGAGCUACCAAUUUAUUAAGUGAUUUAUCGCUGUUUACAAAAAAAUAUAUGGUUGUGCCACCAAUUACGAUAGAGAUAGCCUACACUUCUAUCAUAUACACAAGUCCCAUCCCAAAUGCAAAUGCAGAACUAACAGAUGUCAAAUAUUUUUAUGAUAUACAUGCUUAUCAUGACCAAUACAGAACAUACAUAACACUUUUCAGAUUAUACAUACUAUAGAUUUAUCACCUCAUAUAUGCGUUCAUAUGUCAUAUUUUAUGCUGACAGAUGGUCAAAUUUCAUGUUUUAUAACUUCAUUGAUCACAUACAAACCCUAUGGAAGGCCUACAUUCGAUUCAAAUGAUAUUUACGGCCUUAGGCACGCGUAUGGCCUACACGACCUCACACAUGCCCUUGUAUGGCCCACACGGCCCAAUUGGCCUAAACUAUGUGUCACACACAGCCCAGCACACAGCCUGUCACAUGGUUUUGUUGUUCGCUAAUUUUCAGGUUUUUCGUUACACUCAUUUAUUGUUUCUGAAGUGAAUCCACUCGCAAGACUUCCAAAACCUAAAAUGAUUAACCCACCUGAUUAGCAAUGAUUUCCCAAUUUUCCAACUAACACUUCCAUUCAAAAACGUUAGUAUAAACAUUAUUAAUCUAAAAUUUAGACUCUUAGGUGUUCUAACACUCACCCAAAAAUCCACAGCAGAACCAAGUACCACUGACUCACAAUAGGAAAAUUUUGAACUUCUUGAUUAACACCUAACAACAAAAAUUUACGAGAUUAAACCACGCUCCAAUGAUAAUUAAGCUAUUAAUCACAACCCUUAUACAAAACUAUAGAGAACACUUACCUAUGAAUUCCCGUAGAAUCAUAAUCGCACAAAAGAAUAAGGUUGAACCCCAUACCAAUUCACAAGGAAGAGAUUAAAACAAAAUAACAAAGAAAUCAAGAACAAAAUAGCACAGGAGGCGUAAAUGAAAGAAGGGAAAAUAAAGAAAGUACAAGAAAGGAAGGAACAAAAAGAAUAGAACGUGGAAGCACAAUUGGGAAAUGUGGGGAAUUUGGG